GACGAACGCUGGCGGCGUGCCUAAUACAUGCAAGUAGAACGCAGUUGCGAACGGGUGAGUAACGCGUAGGUAACUGCCUCAUAGCGGGGGAUAACUAUUGGAAACGAUAGCUAAUACCGCAUACUGUGAGAUGUACCUUCGUUGUAUUAGCUAGUUGGUGAGGUAAAGGCUCACCAAGGCGACGGUACAUAGCCGACCUGAGCGGGUGAUCUGCCAAACUGGGACUGGAACACGGCCCAGACACCUACGGGAGGCAGCAGUAGGGGAUCUUCGGAAAUGGACGGAAGUCUGAACGAGCAAAGCCGCGUGAGUGAAGAAGGUGUUCGGGGCGGAAAGGUCUGUUGUUAGGGAAGCGGUAACUAAACAGAAAGGGACGGCUAACUACGUGCCAGCAGCCGCGGUAAUAC
rnacentral:rRNA from 1 species